AUUGAACGCUGGCGGCAUGCCUUACACAUGCAAGUCGAACGGUAACAGGUCUUCGGAUGCUGACGAGUGGCGAACGGGUGAGUAAUACAUCGGAACGUGCCUAGUAGUGGGGGAUAACUACUCGAAAGAGUGGCUAAUACCGCAUGAGAUCUACGGAUGAAAGCAGGGGAUCGCACGACCUAGUUCUACUAGAACGGCCAAUGGCAGAUUAGGUAGUUGGUGGGAUAAAAGCUUACCCAGACGACGAUCUGUAGCUGGUCUGAGAGGACGAUCAGCCACACUGGGACUGAGACACGGCCCAGACUCCUACAGGAGGCAGCAGUGGGGAAUUUUGGACAAUGGGCGCAAGCCUGAUCCAGCAAUGCCGCGUGCAGGAUGAAGGCCUUCGGGUUGUAAACUGCUUUUGUACGGAACGAAAAGCCCCGGGUUAAUACCCUGGGGUCAUGACGGUACCGUAAGAAUAAGCACCGGCUAACUACGUGCCAGCAGCCGCCGCGG
rnacentral:rRNA from 1 species